CACACAUGAGAGCGGCCUGAACAGCAAAUUCUGUCCAGACCAUCCGGUGAGAGAUUAUCUCUUUAUCAACUCUCAUGGAGGUUCAACCGGAAAAGGAGUUAA
rnacentral:sRNA from 1 species